AUACUUACCAGGCAAGGAGAUACCAUGAUCACAAAGGUAUUUUCCUCAGGGUGUGAUUUAUCUAUUGCAUUCCAGAUGUGUUGACCUCUGAGAUUCACCCAAAUGUUAGAAAAUCGACUGCAUAAUUUGUGGUAGUGGAGGACUGCACUUGUACUCUCCCCUG